rnacentral:rRNA from 2 species
AAGUGCGACCAUACCAGCACUAAUGCACCGGAUCCCAUCAGAACACCGCAGUCAAGCGUGCUUGGGCGAGAGUAGUACUAGGAUGGGUGACCUCCUGGGAAGUCCUCGUGUUGCACCUC